AUAGGAAUCACCUGGAAAUCUUACUAAAAUACAGAUUCUGAUUCAGUGUAGAUAGGGAGGACUGAGAUUGUGCCUUUCUCCCAAAUUCCCAGGAGAUGCCAAU
rnacentral:miRNA from 1 species